AUUGAACGCUGGCGGCAGGCCUAACACAUGCAAGUCGAACGAGUGGCGGACGGGUGAGUAAUGUCUGGGAAACUGCCUGAGGGAGAGGGAUAACUACUGGAAACGGUAGCUAAUACCGCAUACCAUCAGAUGUGCCCAGAUGGGAUUAGCGUGUUGGUGGGGUAACGGCUCACCAAGGCGACGAUCCCUAGCUGGUCUGGGAGGAUGACCAGCCACCCUGGAACGUGGACAGCGUCCAGCAUCCUACGAGAGGCACCAGUGGGGAAUGUGGCACAAUGGGCGAAAGCCUGAUGCAGCCAUGCCGCGUGUAUUAAGAAGGCCCUCGGGUUGUAAAGUACUUUCAGCGGGGAGGCGUUACCCGCAGAAGAAGCACCGGCUAACUCCGUGCCAGCAGCCGCGGUAAUAC
rnacentral:rRNA from 1 species